UUGCUCAAGGUCACUGACGACAUUCGCCA
rnacentral:piRNA from 1 species